ensembl:lncRNA
AUGUUUUACAGGCAAAGACAGCCUCGAUGUCCCUUUCCCAUCCAUGAUCAGAUUCAGUCUGACUGCAGCAAUAAGGGUCGUGAUGGACAGCAGAGACAGGCGAAGGUGGACAAGGUGGUCAGUUGCUUCAUCAAAAUAAAGCUGCAUUGUUUGCUGGUUUUACAGCUGCAAAGAAUGCAAUAAUACAAAAUUGGUGUACUCCUCACAUGUGCAAAAACAUUUUUGAUUCACAGCCUCCUUAAAAUAGUGACUUAUGAAUAUACAACAGCACAAAUGAACAGGGAUAAACCCAGCACCGAUGCAUAUCAAUGUUUUUCUUCCAAAUUUUUGGAUUAUAUAAAGGAAUGACUUUAAAAAGUUAUUUCAAAUUGUAAAAAUAUUGAUAUGUCUGUUGCUCCCCCUUCCCUGUUUUGUUUGUUUGAAUAAAUGUUGUUUUGUUGAAUUAAAAACAAUAAAAAAGUUGAUCACAAAAAAUAAUAAUGACUGCUGACUUUUUUGACAGUUGUCCAAAAGACGACCAUUGACACCUUGUUCAAGGAGGGCAAGACACAAAAGGUCAUUGCAAAAGAGGUUGGCUGUUCACAGAGCUCUGUGUCCAAGCACAUUAAUAGAGAGGCGAGGUCUUCAAGCAGCUGCCCGACGUCUCCUUUGUGCAGACAUUGCAAACGCUGAGGAAAACUGUACUGGGUAGGGUUGUAGAGUUACUGAUGUGUUAUAUGUUGCAUAUAUUUGGCAAAAUGCCCCAUCUACAUUUAUUUUUCUAUCUGACUAAUGAGUUUAUGGUCACCAAAUAUGUUUUUCUGAGGUAAAUGUGAUGUUAUGUGACAUUGUUUACAAGGCGUUAUAUUGACAUCUUUGCACAGCUGAAACACUAAUUGAGCGAUUACAUGAGACAAGAUAUGGAUUCUAAAGUUGUACAUUACUCUUUCUUUUAACUUACCUUUGUUUGUUUAGUAAUGCUUAUUUUUACCUAAACUGGUAUUAAUGUGGAGGAGAUGAUCAGUUCACAAGCUCUUCACACUGCUGCGACUGUUGAUCGAGGCACUACAGCGAUCUGUCACUCCACAUUAAACAGUGCCAAAACGGCAAUACAAUGGACAGAAUUUGAAAUCUGAGACUUUGUUUCAUAUUAAAAGUACCAAAGCACUUUGCUUAUUGCGAUUUAUUGGAUGGGAGGUGCCCUUCAACGUUCCGUCCAUUAACUGAAAACAGGCUAGACUAAUCAAUUCUUUGGAUUUAGGAAUCGAUACCAUUCCGUAAAAAUGAGAUUUGAUUAAUAUCGAGAUAUCUAUAUUUCUUACCCAGCCCUACAAAACAAUGUGUUCCUUGGAGACGUAGCAGUUCUGCUGUUUGUUCUAUUCUCUCUCUCUCUCUCUCUCUCUUUUGACAGAGCAAAACUGAAUUUUGUGUCUGAGAGUUACUAAGUAUCUCAUAUGAUGACCUCUGCAGUUGUAAGACACUGUGUAAACACAUUCAACUCUGAAAACAUGUCUCAAG